CUGAAGGUUAAAUGUGGUAUCAUUGUUAUGUGUGGUGAAGAACCAUUUAUCUGAAAGUUAAAUUGUGGGAUCAUUGUUAUGUGUGUUGAAGAACCAUUUAUAUGAGGUUAAAUGUGGUAUCUUGUAUUGUGUGUGAAGAAACAUUUAUACUGAGGUUAAAUGUGGGUAUCAUUGUUUAUGUGUGUGAAGAACCAUUUAUACUGUAGGUAAAGUGGUAUCAUUGUAUUGUGUGUGUGAAGAACCAUUUACAUGAAAGUUAAAUGUGGUAUCAUUGUUUAUGUGUGUGUAGAACCAUUUAUACUGAAAGUUAAAUGUGGUAUCAUUGUUAUUGUGUGUGAAGAAAACCAUUUGUAUAAUGUAGGUUUUAUAAUGUGUGUAUCAUUGUUAUUGUGUGUGAAGAACAUUUAUACUGAAGGUUAAAUGUGGUUGGUAUCAUUGUUAUUGUGUGUGAAGAACCAUUUAUACUGAAAGUUAAAUGUGGUAUCAUUGUUUGUGUGGAAGAACCAUUAUACUGAAUGUUAAAGUGGUAUAUUGUUAUUGUGUGUGAAGAACAUUUAUCUGAGGUUAAUGGUAUCAUGUUAUUGUGUGUGAAGAACCAUUUAUACUGAAGGAUAAUGUGUGUAUCAUUGUUAGUGUUGAAGAACAUUAUACGGAAUAGUUAAAUUGGUCUCAUUG
rnacentral:lncRNA from 1 species